ACUAUUGUUUCACCCCGUAUAUUAAACUCGUGGUUAACGAAGUGGGAAGCGAUUAGCGGAGUCGGAGUUUCGAGGCUCGCUGAGUUCCCCUACCAUCUUCAACCUGCGUGGCUCAGUUAUGCUCUCUCGUGAAAACAAACACAACACGCAUUAACCAUUUUUACGUAUUAGAACAAGGGACGCCGAAGAGAGGAAAGAAGGAAUGUUCUCGUCGAACAAAGGAACAUCAACAACGGUUGAAGUCGCUGCGCAGUUGGUGUGCCAUAGCGCAAUAGGGAAAAGGAGGAACUGAAGCGAGGAGAUGAGGAGAAGUGCUUCCCACUUCUUCGGCAUUGAAAAGAGAGAGAAACUCCUCUUAUAUCUUUUCUCUCUCUCAUCGUAUGCAUCACCGCUUAUGCAAUGGAUGCCUGGUCUAUACUUACUAUGUCUAUGGAUAUAUUUAACUUUUGAUUUUAAAAAUAUCUCAUGAAUUGUUUGAAUCAUAUAAAAAUGUAUAAUUUCAUUUAAAAAAUAGGCAAUGACUUAAAAAUGUAUUUGAUAUUAUUACGCAUGUAUAAAAAAUUCAACUAAAUCCGCCAAUGUGUCAUAAAAUACUUCAGUUUAUCGUGAUUAACAUUUUUUCAUAUAACUAAUAUUGUCGAUAGUAUUUAAUUGUCACACUGUAUGUGCCACACUCGGUGCAUUAUUAAUAUAAAAUUUGUAGUAAUGAAUAGGUAAAAUAGAACAGGUGUUUGAAGUAGAAGAUUAAACAUGCGGGCAAGCAAAACAUAAUAUUUGAUAAAUAUAUUAACAAAUUAUCAAAGUGAAUAUAUGUAUCUAUAUAUGUAUAGGGUGUCUCAAUAUUAAUGAUACAAUCGAAAGUAGGACGUUUUCACUUCUGCAUCUGCUUAGGUGAGAAUCGGGAUAGCACAGGACAAGGGGGGUCCUUCGCAUAUAUCGACCGACUCUCUAAUUUUACAUAAGUUUAAUUAGUACCGCUUUAACCAAUAAUACAUUACGGUCGAAAUUAGGCGUAAGCUAAGGUGGGGCACGACUAAUCAGACCCGCAUUCCAUCAACUUAGCAGAUGCGGACGGUAUAAAAAACAGUUGAAAAUGCAGAAUAACUUAUUUUUAUAGGUAGUUUUGUUUUUGAAAAUUUUCCAAAAUACCUAAUUAAAAACAAAAAAUAUUUCAAUUACAUACAAUCUUUUACGGUAAUUCAACAAUUAAUGGUUGUUACAUAUUAGUAAAUGUAAUUAUUAAUAUUGUUAACAUUUAUUAUCAUUUAUUGUUCUUUCUAACUAAAUAGAGACCUAGGUGGGACCAAGCUGUCUAUUCGCAAAAACUAUUUGGGUAAUACAAAUAAAAACAGAACAUACGAUAACGUUUUUAUUACAUGAAAUUAUAAAUAAUAAAAAGAAUGCUAAUUGCUGAUAGCGAUGAGUUUAUCGGA